rnacentral:lncRNA from 1 species
CAGAGGAAGAUAAACAUAACGUCCAAAUGAGUGCCUGAGAGGACUAAACAGAAAUAAGAAAGCAUCCAUGCACUGGAGAGCUGGAAGCAAGAGCGAGAUGGCCCCAGAUCCUAAACAGGGAAUCCAGCCAUUUGCUGAAGACAAAAACAGGCACAUAAAAGCCAGUUUCCUGUGGGGCCUUCACUCUACGCCCAACAGAGGAUUUCAGAAACACUGUGGGGCGGCUCUUACAAAGACACCCACCUGCCAGCGCCCAGGAAACAAAUCCUGCCCGGCCGCAGACGGACACAAAUCCCAGUCAAUCAAAAGGUCCACUCCCUUUUGGAAGGGAGGGGGCUUUAGCUUCCCUUCCCCAGCCCUACAUUCAAACCAAGGUGAGAUAAAGCAUUAAAUAGCUCGGAUUACCUUCCAAGCACAGAGUUGGGCAUGGUCUUUAAAAUCAGUCAAGUUUUUUUUUUUUUUUUUUUUUUUUUUUGAGACAGAGUCUCACUCUGUCACCCAGGCUGGAGUGCAGUGGCACAAUUUCAGCUCACUGCAGUCUCUGCCUCCCAGGUUCAAGUGAUUCUCCGGCCUCAGCGCCCCCAGGUAGCUGGGAUUACAGGUAUGUGCCACCAUGCCCGGCUGAUUUUUGUAUUUUUAGUAGAGACAGAGUUUUGCCAUGUUGGCCAGGUUGGCCUCGAACUCUUGACCUCAAGUGAUCCACCCGUCCUCGGCCUCCCAAAGUGCUGGAAUUACAGGCAUGAGCCAUCGCACCCAGCCUUAACUUACAUUUUUAAAGUCCAUAUAUUUAUGUAGUGCUUUAUGAUUUUAUUUUUAAACAUACAUUUGACCCAUCGGCAGUUUAUUCUGGGGCUAGGUGUGAUGGCUUACACUUGUAAUCCCAGCACUUUGGGAGGGUGAGGUAGGAGGAUUGCUUGAGG